UGAGACUCCAGCAGAGUUGUGUUUAGCCUUAGGUAAGUGAAACACGAUAGGUGGCGACCAUCAGGGUCGUUAAGUGGCUUUGCGUUCUCAAGAAUCUUGUUGUAGCCUUCUCUGUCGUAACAAGGAAGAGCAUUCUCACUAGCUACAGGUAUAUUCGCAUCCCAAGCUGCAUUCAACACCUGCCAAACUAGACCUUCUGGGUCAGCCAGCGCCUCUGGAAAAUCCUCGUGCUGGUCAAGUGUUCGUAACUCCACGCAUGUGAAGUUGAGAGCAGCGUCAUGUUUCUUCAGCAUCGCUGCUAUUGGACCGUACCCAUCACGGUUUGACGGGUUGUAGAAUCCAGCAGUGAGCUCAGCAGCGUGACUAGCUGUUUUAUACCACCAGUGUAUACCUGAGAGCUAAAUGCAAAACAGACGAUUUUAUUCAGACAAGCCGGGGAAAAAAAACAUACUAUACUUGCUUUGUUUUUGUUUCACCUUGGCAGCGAUGGAGUUUCCUUCGAAGGCCAAGUUAGCCAUAGAAAGAACACGAUCACCAUGGUCAAUGAGAACUCUGGAGUACCAGUUAAGAAAGAAUCUGCCGUAGUAGCUGUCAUAGUCACCUCCAUCGCGAAAGAAACCAGUCCCGUGUGGGGUAGAGUUAUAAGACUCAGUGUUGUCAGGUCCUCUGCCCCAAAAGCUGUGCCCUCUUACCUCUGCUGCCUCCUUUAAGCUCUUCAUCAAAUACUUAUCAUAACACUGCUCACACCAGUAGAGAAGAUAUAAGUGAUCUGACAGGAUGUAGAUUUUUUGAAUUAAAAAAAGAGAGAGAGAGUACCUGGAAUUCACCAAUACCAGGAUACUUCCAGCCAUGUUGAGCAGGGUAAGAAGGAUACCUGAGCUCCCCACAUGGACCUAGUCCUACUUCUAUCUCUGUUAUGAUUUUCUCCUCAAAGAACUCAUCAAACUCCACUCUAAAGCUUCUCAUGUAAUCAAAGUAAACCUACACAAUAUUAACAAUGGAUUCCUCAAUCAUGACAUAGUGGUGCUUGCAUGUUAGGCGAUAGAGUAGAAACCCCAUACCUCGAGAGCAGUUCUUCCUCUUAAAACACGUUGCUUGUCAAUCCCCCAAGUGAGACACUCAGAGUUACGCAUGCCUGCCCUGUCAGUGAAGUAAAUGUCAGGAUUGGUUUCACCAAUCUCUCUUACCCACUGGGGGAGUUGUAUAUGCACAUCAUCUCCAACAUUGCCUCCACACUCGUGGAACGACAUAACAACCUGAACAAGUCAAGAAGAAACAGUUUAUCUACAUAUCAUCUCACUAAAAUACCUUAUAUGAGAAGAUGAGAUCACCUGAAGCUUAAGUCCAAGCUGGCGAAUCAUGUCAAAGAGUUUCUUGUAGCCGCUCCAGUUAUAGACCUGAGGGGUAUGAGACUCGACGAUGCCCCACCAGCAGUCAACCAUAACACCAUCAACAUUAACAGACUUGAGGGUUCUUAACUGAUCCAAGAGCUCUUCCGGUUCAACCACUUCCGAGUUCAUAUCAAUCAGUCCCAACUACAUCAUAUCAUUCAUUCAACACUUGACUCAACCAAACCAUCUCUAGAAAGCAAAAAUUAAAAAAAAACUUACUGGGAGCAUAACAUAGACGGGAACAGACGCUGUGCCGGCAAAAUCACGCUCAUAAAAAUGCACAAAUGGUUCAUCAUCAUCAUCAGCCUAGAAAUUGAAAAUGUAUGAAAAAUACAUCAGAAACAACUUACGAGCAGUGAACUCUAUAAUGAGACACUUACGAGCUGAUCUUCGAUAGGAGGAGCUCGAUCCUCAACACUCUCUCCUAAAACCAAAGGCCUAGCACCAGAAAGUGUAGAGGCGCCACGCCAUUCUCCAACGCGCGAUCUCCGAGCAGAUACUCUCGCCGGAGCUCCGAGCUUCUUCACGCUCACUGGACAUACAACAGUAUGAAUCGAACUAAUCGCCAUCACUACGAAAAAAUCUUCUCACUUGUGUGUGUAUCCUAAAUUCAGAUUUUAUGAGAAGACAUGGGGACAAUCAAAACCCACGUGAAAGUGUCAAUGCUUUUUCACGGAUCCAAGAACCCAUUCGAUCAAAUCAAUUUUUUUGAAAAUGAAAAAACAAAACAAAACAAAAGAGUUUAGUCCGGAUUCACUCAGAUCCGUCCGUUUGAGAGUUUUUGUCUUUUAAUCACACACACACGUGGCGCUAUGUCGGUCAAAUUUCCUACGUCGGACAACUCCCGCGCGGGUCAAGUUUAUCAAUGGGCUUUUAAGAAUGAAACUUCUAUUGAGCCCAUUUAUCUAUUGGGUCCAUUAAGUCUAUCUCUCUCUCAGCUCACUGUGUUAAAAAGGCCCUAAUACGCUCGUAAAUAUCUUUUGUUUUUUGAGUUUUUAUUUACUCCAUGUAAUAAUAUUAUGGACAAAUCUGUACUGUUUUAAAUUGUUUGACUGUACUUGCACGAGUGUAUAUGAUUUUUUUUUGACUCAACCAAACCGAUCUCUAGAAAGCAAAAAUUAAAAAAAAACUUACUGGGAGCAUAACAUAGACGGGAACAGACGCUGUGCCGGCAAAAUCACGCUCAUAAAAAUGCACAAAUGGUUCAUCAUCAUCAUCAGCCUAGAAAUUGAAAAUGUAUGAAAAAUACAUCAGAAACAACUUACGAGCAGUGAACUCUAUAAUGAGACACUUACGAGCUGAUCUUCGAUAGGAGGAGCUCGAUCCUCAACACUCUCUCCUAAAACCAAAGGCCUAGCACCAGAAAGUGUAGAGGCGCCACGCCAUUCUCCAACGCGCCAUCUCCGAGCAGAUACUCUCGCCGGAGCUCCGAGCUUCUUCACGCUCACUGGACAUACAACAGUAUGAAUCGAACUAAUCGCCAUCACUACGAAAAAAUCUUCUCACUUGUGUGUGUAUCCUAAAUUCAGAUUUUAUGAGAAGACAUGGGGACAAUCAAAACCCACGCGAAAGUGUCAAUGCUUUUUCACGGAUCCAAGAACCCAUUCGAUCAAAUCAAUUUUUUUGAAAAUGAAAAAACAAAACAAAACAAAAGAGUUUAGUCCGGAUUCACUCAGAUCCGUCCGUUUGAGAGUUUUUGUCUUUUAAUCACACACACACGUGGCGCUAUGUCGGUCAAAUUUCCUACGUCGGACAACUCCCGCGCGGGUCAAGUUUAUCAAUGGGCUNNNNNNNNNNNNNNNNNNNNNNNNNNNNNNNNNNNNNNNNNNNNNNNNNNNNNNNNNNNNNNNNNNNNNNNNNNNNNNNNNNNNNNNNNNNNNNNNNNNNUCGGGUUGAGUAAAACAUAAACCAAUUGGGUUACAUAAAGAGCACGGUCUGGUUUGGUUCGGUUUAACUUCGGUUUGGUUGGUUCGGUUCGGUUCGGUUUGAGUUUUUUGCCCAUCCCUAUGGGUAAGAAUGUAAACAAGACAACACGGAAACACGUGUCAAUGAUCUGACGGUGAGUUAGUCAAUGUCCUUUCCCCUCUCUUCUCUAAUAUGCGAGGAAAAUAAUGCAGAACCGUGUUUCCGUUUAUACCCUUGUUGCCCAAAUCUUUAUUCGGGCAACUUUAAAUUUUAAUUUCCCUAUCUUGCUUUUUUGACUUUACACUAAUAUCUUUUUUAAUGUUCCUUUUAGAGAAAUUAAAAUAGGGACAUAAAAGUAAACAAAAGAAAUAAAUGCGUAAUUAAUUUUGGCUGACCCCCUCUAGCUCUUACUAAUCCUCGGGCAGGCAGGUCUCAGACAUCUUCCCUCUUCAUCAGACAGCUUCCUCUUAUAUUCUGUUCCUCACUGGAAGAGGAAGAAGAAGUAAAGAGAUCAAAGCUCCAACCUUGUGUUGUGUAUAAAAGUUUUGACUAAUUUUGACGGUUUAACUUGUCAUAUCAUCGAAUUCCGGUUAGCAAAUUCGGUACGUGUGUGGUUUUGAGUUGAUCGGAUCUCGAGAGUGAGAUGAUGUGGAGGAACAUUGCUGGCUUCUCCAAGGCUGCUGCUGCGGCGGCAAGAACCCACGGAUCUCGGCGGUACUUGUCUUCGGCGAUUCCUGGUCCUUGCAUCGUCCACAAGCGUGGUGCCGAUAUCCUCCACGAUCCAUGGUUUAACAAGGUUUCUCUAUUCUCUUUUCCUCUGAUCUUAUAAUGCCUGAUUGUUGAAACUUUAUGGGAAGUGAGUUUAUAACAUUUUGAAAUCUUGUCAGCUCGUUUGGUGCCUUUUUUUGAAGUUUGUUCGUUUCUCAUUUUUGGUGGUGGGUUCAUGGUUUGCACAGGACACAGGUUUUCCAUUGACUGAGAGAGAUAGAUUGGGGCUAAGAGGCUUGCUUCCUCCUCGUGUUAUCUCCUUUGAACAGCAAUAUGCCCGUUUCAGUAAGUCUCUUUUGGAUCCAUGCUUAUGCCUUUUUUUCUGGUUUUCUGAGACUUUUUCCUAUGAAUACAAAUUGGCAGUUGAGUCCUUUCGGUCGCUAGAGAGGAACACGCAAGGGCAGCCAGACAACGUUGUCUCAUUAGCUAAGUGGAGGAUUCUCAAUAGGUUGCAUGAUCGUAACGAGACUUUGUACUACCGAGUGAGUUCAAAGUUUCCUCUUUUUUUUUUUUUUAUUAUCCUGACAUCUUGACACACCCCGGAGACAUAACCAUCGCUUGUUCUCUGCAGGUCCUUAUUGAUAACAUCAAAGACUUUGCUCCAAUCAUAUACACACCGACGGUUGGACUGGUUUGUCAGAACUAUUCCGGUUUGUAUAGAAGACCCAGAGGAAUGUACUUCAGUGCCAAAGACAAAGGAGAGAUGAUGUCUAUGAUCUACAACUGGCCUGCUCAUCAGGUUGAUAUGAUCGUCAUCACUGAUGGUAGCCGUAUCCUUGGCUUAGGAGACCUUGGAGUCCAGGGUAUUGGGAUUCCUAUUGGCAAGCUCGACAUGUAUGUCGCUGCUGCAGGAAUCAAUCCACAGAGAGUAUGUCCCAUCUCCACAUUAUCUGCUUGUGGACAAAGGGUUUCAUCUUCUUAUUCGAAAAUUUUACGCUUGUUUAUAUUCAGGUUUUGCCAAUUAUGUUGGAUGUCGGCACCAAUAAUCAAAAGCUCCUACAGAAUCCUCUCUGUAAGCUACUUUUAUUAGUCUCUAUAUGAUUGCACUUCUGUGGAUGUGUUUCCUUUGAUACGUCAUUCAUGUAUCUACAGAUUUAGGACUCAGACAACCUAGGUUGGAAGGAGAGGAGUACCUUGAGAUUGUUGAUGAGUUUAUGGAAGCUGCAUUCACACGUUGGCCUAAGGCCGUCGUUCAGGUAUAUAUAUAAUUUGGUUUUACCUUUUGGUGGUGGUGAGGGAUGACUAAAAUGGUUGUUUCAAUCAUAAUAGUUCGAAGAUUUCCAAGCGAAAUGGGCUUUUGAAACUUUGGAUAGAUAUCGGAAGAAGUUUUGCAUGUUCAAUGAUGAUGUCCAGGUAUCUUCUCAUCAUUUCACUUCAGCUGCUUCUUACUUUAAAGCUACUCUUUAAUAACAAGGUUGGCGUAUGAUGUCUCAGGGAACUGCUGGUGUUGCUCUCGCUGGACUAUUGGGAACUGUAAGAGCUCAAGGUCGUCCUUUGUCAGACUUUGUUAACCAAAAGAUUGUUGUGGUUGGAGCUGGAAGGUACUUGGUUAUCCAGUCUUUUACUAAUAUUGUACUGUAUAUUUCUGCAGUAACUUUCAUCUCAUCUUUCGUAUUGUAAUAUUUCUUCUUUUCUUUAUAGUGCCGGGCUCGGUGUAACAAAGACGGCAGUACAGGCGGUUGCGAGAAUGGCAGGCAUCAGCUUCGCUGAAGCAACGAAAAACUUUUACCUGAUAGAUAAAGAUGUAAGUCUCUCUUAUCCCUUGCUAGUUGACGUCAUCUGAAUGGUUUGUCUUGCUUGAUAAUAAAUAUUUUAGCUCGUGGAGUUGACUUUGAAACUGUCAUAUUAUUGUCUCUUUUAGAGCUUGCUUUUGGAUGUUGUCUUAAGUUAUCUACUAAGAGCUUACCUAGAAGAAGUCAAAAACAUUUUUCAAAAGUUAUCCCUUUGACAUAUUAGUUUUGUCUUGGUCAGCAUAUUGUUUUUUUUGUUUAAAUUGGAUUGCCUCAUAAGAUCUUGAAUAAUGUAAUGAAAACGACUGAAUGUGCUUUAGGGUCUUGUCACCACGGAGAGGUCAAAACUUGACCCAGCAGUUGUACCUUUUGCCAAAAAUCCAGCUGAGAUACGUGAGGGAGCAAGUAUCGUUGAAGUGGUAAAGCUUAAAGCCUCAUUGUGUUCUUGACUUGGCCGAUUAUUUGACUCCAUCUUCUUUUCUCUACAGCUGUUCAUGAAAGUUGAGACAUAAUAAUAUUGUUUCCUUGUUUACAAAUUUUUGUUCAGGUGAAGACAGUGAGGCCACAUGUACUUCUUGGUUUAUCUGGAGUUGGUGGCAUCUUCAAUGAAGAAGUAGGUGAACCUAAUUUCAACAAACAUAUAGUUGAAUGAUAUAUUAAUUAACAGUUUUACUGACUUGUAUGGUUUACUGGUUUCAAUUUGUGCAAAGGUUCUCAAGGCAAUGCGAGAAUCUGAUUCAUGCAAGCCCGCCAUUUUUGCUAUGUCCAAUCCCACCUUGAAUGGUUUGUGUGUUUUGUCUUUCCAAAAUAAUGUAACAUUGUUUCCUUGAAAGAAGAUCUGAUCUGAACACUUUUUUUUUUUUUUUCUGUUUGGCAGCGAGUGCACUGCUGCUGAUGCAUUUAAGCACGCCGGAGAAAACAUAUUUUUUUUUUUUCUGUUUGGCAGCUGAGUGCACUGCUGCUGAUGCAUUUAAGCACGCCGGAGAAAACAUAGUCUUUGGAAGCGGAAGCCCAUUUGAAAACGUUCAACUUGGUAUGUUAUAGUAGUGAGCUUCAUUUAUGGAUUUUUGCAACUCUAAAUUGUUUAAAAUCUGAAAAUAAAAUAAUUCAUAUUAUUCUUUUAAACUUGCAGAGAAUGGUAACGUUGGGCAUGUGAAUCAGGCCAACAACAUGUACCUAUUCCCCGGGUUCGUUUACGCUUCUUGAAAACUGCUUCACAGUGAAUCACAUUUUAAUCCAUAAGUAUAGCUCAAAUCAACUGUGCUUAUUUUGUUUUACAGGAUCGGGUUAGGGACUCUUCUAUCUGGUGCGCGUAUUGUAACUGAUGGAAUGCUGCUAGCAGCUGCUGAAUGGUAAGAAGAUUGCAUUUAUUUGGUUCUCUUCUAUCUCUCCAACCAUUAGAAACAAAAUGACAAGAUUGGAGCUUAUAAUAUAGUGAGGCUGAUGAUUAAAUAUAUAUUUUGAAAAUAUAACGCAGCCUUGCAUCCUACAUGACUGACGAAGAAGUCCAAAAAGGCAUCCUUUACCCUUCAAUCAACAAGUAUUAUUUCCUCUCAUUCUUAUCCAUUGAUUAAUAUCUUAAAUGGUUAUAUUAAAAGUAAUUGGUUUCUGAACCAAAAAAAUGCAGCAUCCGACACAUAACAGCAGAGGUUGGGGCGGCUGUUCUAAGAGCUGCUGUUACUGACGACAUUGUAGAAGGACAUGGGGAUGUUGGUCCCAGAGAUCUCAGUCACAUGUCUAAGGUAUCAGAAUUAAUUGAGCUUUGUAUUAAACAUGAUAACUAAGGUACACUAGUAGAAGUUGGAAUCUAAUUGCAUCUUUUUUCUUCUUCUUUUGAAACAACAGGAGGAGACAGUGGAUUACAUCACACGCAACAUGUGGUUCCCAAUUUACAGCCCUCUCGUGCACGAGAAAUAGACUCUUUGAAAUCUCUCAGAUCUCAUAAUAAAAGCCAAAAAUACAAAAAGAACUUCUUCCUUCUCUUAUUUGCGGUCAACAACAUUGUUUCUUCUUUUCCCAGUAUGUGCUAUGAAAGCCAUGAUGCCUAAUGUUUAAAAACGACAAAGAACAAGAACAGUGUUAGCUCUAGGUCACCUGUCCCUUGUCCUUUGUCCGAUAUUUUUUCCAAUGUCUGAAAAGAUUAUGUCUGAAAGGAUCAUAUAAUAUACAUUUUUUUGGGGCAAUAACAUUUCUUUGAAUCUGCUCUACUCUUCAGAAUUCGGUUUGAUAAAAUCGAAUUUGAUUUGGAUUGGACUGAAACGGUUCUGGUUCGAAGUUUUGUAAUUUGUAUUAAUGAAAGAAACGGAACGAAUAAAUGGGCCCUUGAGCAAUUGGGCCUAGGCUGUAACACUCAACAAGCGUACAGGUUUUGACUUGACGGAUGAAACAUAAACGACGUGAAGAAACGGCACGUAGUCUGGAACACGCAAGCCUGUUGGUUGAUUCUUCUUUCUUUCUCUCGACGUUGGGGGAAAAAAGGAAUGUUGAGAGAAAGAAGAAAGAAAGAGAUUGGACAAAUCAGCGACCAGCCUGGAAUUGAUUAAGUUUAAAGAAUGACCUGAGAAAACCAAACCAACGAAGAGGCUCCGCAGAAUAUUCUCCCUUUGUCACGCAAACCCCUAAUAGUUAAAUAUAUUUAUUUUAUUUUCUCCUCUUACGUUCGCCCUUUGCUCGAAGCCAAAUCAGCUUUUCUCAAAUCAAAAAGAGUCCCUUCUCGAUUGAAAUUCUCCAGGUAUGAAAUUCAUUAGGGAGUUUCUUCUGAUAAACUUUGUUCAUGUUUCUCGUAUGUGAAUGUUUGGUUAUCGUAUUGGGAAGACUCUCUGUAUGUAGAUUGAACGUUGAAUCAUUUAUUUGAAAUUCACAGGCAAUAGUUGGAAUAUCUAAGUAAUAAUUAUAUGUAAUUUCGUUUACAGGAUAGUUUUAGCUGAGGAUAUAUAUAUAUGAUGAUGAUGAAACAACAACAACAGCAGCAGCAGAAACAGCACAUUGCAAUCUUUACGACAGCUAGUCUUCCGUGGCUUACGGGAACUGCUGUUAAUCCUCUCUUCCGUGCUGCCUACCUUGCUAAAGACGGUCAAAGACGUGUCACUUUGGUCAUUCCUUGGCUCACUCUCAACCACCAGCUCCUUGUCUACCCUAAUAACAUCACUUUCGCUUCCCCUUCCCACCAAGAAGCUUAUGUCCGUCGCUGGCUUGAGGACAGAGUCUCGUUUCCUUUAAGUUUUGAGAUUCGUUUCUAUCCAGGAAAGGUAUUCACUUUUGCCCUUUCUCAACUAGAAUUAAUCUUUCUAGUUCCUUCCUUUUAAAUACUCCUUCUUUAUCUAAAAGUUGAAUUCUUUCCAGCUUUCUUUAACCAUCACUUCAUAGUUAAUCCUCAGUUCUCAGUCUAUUUUCUCAUCUCACCUUUUUUGUGUGUACAUUAUAUGAAUCUCAUAUGUGAUAUUUCCAACAUAUGUUUGUAUGUGCAUCUACGCGCAUAUGUUUAUUUUUUGCUCAUACAUUUAUAAUCACCCUUUUUGACUCUUAUCUCAAAGCCUUUCGUGGAGAUAGAUAGAUAGUCUCUUUUACCCUAACCAUUACAUCAUUGAUAAUCCUCAAUUCUCACGCAGCAUAUCCGGUGUUAUCUUUCUUCAUCUCACAUUUAUGUGUUCAUUCUGUGAAUAUGGUAUCUGAUCUUUCCAAUAUAUGUAUGUGAAACUGUCUGCUUAUACGCAUAAAUGCUCAUAUAUAAGGACCAUUUUUGGGUCGGACUCCAGACCUUUCAUGGACAUAGAUAGUUUCUUUUACCGUCUGUGCUUUCUCUAUAUGUCAUGUCUUUGUGUUAUUUACAUGAGUCUGCAUACACCUGAUGUAUACUUGCAUGUUGAUGGACAUUAUGUAGAUGUAAAUCUUUUAUGUGUUUCCAUAUUCUCCCAUCUGAUCUAGUACUGAGUUUUCUUCCGAUUUUUAUUGCACAGUAACUUUUAUGUAGUAGUAAUUAACUGUGCUAUACGUUCCUUAACUAUUCAAAUUAUCUUAUUGCAGUUUGCUACAGACAAAAGAAGUAUUCUUCCUGUUGGGGACAUAUCGGAUACCAUUCCUGACGAAGAGGCAGACAUUGCCGUCCUUGAGGAGCCUGAGCAUCUCACAUGGUUUCAUCAUGGCAGAAAAUGGAAAACCAAAUUCAACUACGUCAUAGGGAUCGUGCACACAAACUACUUGGAAUUCGUAAAGAGAGAGAAACAAGGCCGCCUCAAAGCAUUUCUCCUCAAGUACUUAAACAGCUGGGUUGUUGGCAUUUACUGCCACAAGGUAAACUUUCUUUACAGCUACCAAUAGAAAUGAUGGAGUGAUUGCUCUAUAUGUUGGUAUCUAUCUGUGUAUCAUUAUCCAAUGGUUGGAUUUGAUUCCGGGAUCAAGAUAGUUUGCUGGCCUUAUGUUAACAGAAAAUUUUGAUGAUGUGAAUCAGGACUUGUGCUAAUUAUGUUACUACUCAUACAGGUGAUUAGAUUAUCGGAUGCGACUCAAGAAUACCCUAAAUCUAUAGUCUGCAACGUUCACGGUGUCAACCCCAAAUUUCUAGAGAUUGGUUUGAAAAAACUAGAACAGCAGAAGCUCCAGGAGCAGCCCUUCACAAAAGGGGCAUACUACAUUGGCAAGAUGGUCUGGAGCAAAGGGUACAAGGAGCUUCUUAAACUACUUAAGAAACACCAAAAGGAACUUGCUGGUUUAGAGGUUGAUUUAUACGGCAGUGGAGAGGACUCUGAAGAGAUCAAACAAGCAGCUCGAAAACUUGACCUGACGGUUAAUGUUUACCCAGGACGUGAUCACGCCGACCCUUUAUUUCACAAGUACGUCUCUAGUUUAAUAACCUCGGCUAUGCAGCAUACUUGUAACAUAGAUUCUUAUCUUAAUCUGAGCAUUGACCUCUAUCUAUUGUAAUUACUAUGUCUUCUGUUUCAGCUAUAAAGUGUUUCUAAACCCCAGCACGACAGACGUGGUCUGCACAACAACUGCAGAAGCCUUGGCGAUGGGGAAAAUAGUAGUAUGCGCAGAUCACACAUCAAACGAGUUCUUCAAACAGUUUCCCAACUGCAGAGUCUACGACGAUGGGAAGGGUUUUGUUAGAGCCACACUCAAGGCACUUGGGGAACAACCAUCACAACUAACAGAGCAGCAGAGGCAUGAACUAUCAUGGGAAGCUGCUACACAACGGUUUAUAAGAGCCUCGGAUCUUAACAGGUUAGCAAGAGUUGAUUCCAACUUGUCAAAGAAAAGUCUGUUUGCGUCAUCUUCUAUAAGUGUGGGGAAAAACUUGGAGGACAUGUCUGCGUAUAUGCACUUCUUGGCGUCUGGGUUUGAAACUUCAAGAACAGCGUUUGGUGCAAUCCCUGGAAGCUUGCAGCCAGAUGAAGAGUUGUGCAAAGAUCUUGGCUUGACUCUCAAGACCCCUUCCCGGAAUAGUCUCAAGGAAGAUUGACCCUUAUUAUAUAAAAAAAUGUGUUGUAUUUUGCUAGAAAAUUCCUAUGUGAUUUUUUAUAUACUCAACGAAUCAUUCUAUAGCUUGGUGGAAUGUUUUGAUGGUUUAUAGUAACAUGACAAUUAGGUUAAACAUAUCAUGUUGGUUUGCUCUGGCUUUGUUUUUUUUUUUUGUUUUUAAUCAAGGUUUAUGCAUAACUGGUGUGUGAUUUUGUAUUGGUAAAUAAUUUUGUUAUAUCAAUUAAUAAAUAUAGGUAAAUAAUUCAAUAUAAAUUUCAUUUUACAAAUUAUCCAAUUAAUUAAUACUGGCAUAUAAAUAAAUUUUUGUUCUCUAAUAUCAUUUAUUUCAUUUUUGAAUAGUAAAAAUUUCAUUAAGAUCUAAGAAAUCACAAAUCUAAUAUUUCAAUUUAUUUUAUAUAAUAUUUAAAAGUGUCUAAAAAAUUUCAUCAAAAAUUUUAGAAAUAUUAUCAUUUUUUUCUAGAUCUUUUACUGGGUCAAACGGUGUCGGGUCACGAGUUAAUGACGGUUUUUAGAUUUCUGUUGGGAUUUAUCAAAUUUUUAAUUAAUGAGCUUUUCAUUAGAUUCGAAUCCGAUUAUAUACAUGUAAUCGGGUUUACCGAUUCUACGGCAUGUCUAAAUCGGAUAUAACAUACUAAAUAAAACUCAGGCCAGAAAUAUAAUUAUUAUAUAACAAAAUAUGUAGAUCAAAAUUCAAAAAAGAUACUUAACAAUACAAGUCAAUAUUUUUUUAUCCAAAAAUCAAAUCCGUACUUUCAAAACGUGAGUCAAAAUCUAGUAUACCUAUUAAAAUCAAUGAUUUAGUACCAAAUACCCAAAAAUAUAUGUAUUACCAAAACAGAAAUAUCUGAAAAUAUUCGAAAAGCACGAAAAAAAUAUUAGCAAAUUUUUUUCGUAGUUCCCAAGUCUUCCUUUAACUACCCAAACUAGAACUGAACCCAAAUAGGUCUGUUACUAUAUGGUUCUUAAAUUUCUAUAUUCGAACUAUCUGAUAUCCAAAAUACCUGAACCGACCUGAAUAUCCAAACGCAUUAUAAACAUUAAGAAAAUGCUGUUUUUAUGUGUUUAGAAUAGACAGGGACAUCCAGAUUCUCGGGUUUGGUUUGGUUUGGUUAGAUCCUUUCAAUUUUAAAUCUUAGACAUUUGGACCAAAUUGGAUAUUUAGAAAAAUUCGGGUAUCCUAAAUUUCCCGGAUAUCCGGAUUCAGGUCUAAUACUCAACCAUCAUAAUGUGAAUAUAUAACUCAAAACCCGAGAGUCAGGGUAAAAGUCACCAAACAAUGUAGAUGGGAAAACCCACAAGUAUCAUUAUGAUAACUUUGACAAUAAAAACAGUUAAUAUAUAUCCGAUAAUCAUAAUAGCAUAAAAAUUAGGAGGAAGGGUCGAAGCAACUAGGUAGGUAAUUUCUCAACAGUUUCCCAAUUUCCUAAUCCUGGCUAACUUUUACAUAGUUAAAAAGGUAAAAAAAACUUUUUCUCUCUGUAUAUAUAUAUACACACACACACACACAACGUACUCCUUCCUUGUUAUUUUUAUUUGUGCACCAAAAAUGAACAAAUAUGUCUAGUGAAAGCCUUCUCGCUUGUGCUGCUGAGAAACCAAAGCCUUGUCGAGAAAGCCUAGUCUCAAAGGGAAUGCCGNNNNNNNNNNNNNNNNNNNNNNNNNNNNNNNNNNNNNNNNNNNNNNNNNNNNNNNNNNNNNNNNNNNNNNNNNNNNNNNNNNNNNNNNNNNNNNNNNNNNNNNNNNNNNNNNNNNNNNNNNNNNNNNNNNNNNNNNNNNNNNNNNNNNNNNNNNNNNNNNNNNNNNNNNNNNNNNNNNNNNNNNNNNNNNNNNNNNNNNNNNNNNNNNNNNNNNNNNNNNNNNNNNNNNNNNNNNNNNNNNNNNNNNNNNNNNNNNNNNNNNNNNNNNNNNNNNNNNNNNNNNNNNUUCAUGUACGUUGGUGUUUAUUGCCAGGUCUCAGGGAAGGAUAAGCACGUGGGAACGGCACGUGUGCCGAUAAAGGAUUUUACGGGAGGAUAUGCGCCGGAGGGUUUCUUGCAUUGUUUGAGUUACAGAUUGUGGGACGAGUACGGGAAAAGGAACGGUAUUGUCAAUUUCUCGGCGAGGAUCGUAAAGGCCGCCGGUCUAACGGGAAAAGGAACGGUAUUGUCAAUUUCUCGGCGAGGAUCGUGAAGGCCGCCUGUCUGCGUUCGUUUUGGUUAAGGUAGUUAGUUUUUUAAGGGUUUAGGAUAAUCAAUCUACUAUUGGUUUGUUUUGGUUUCAUCUGGUUUGUAAUGUUCGAUCGGUCUACUGAAACAAAUUUGAUUGGUCUCAAAAUUGUACAUAGAUUUCUCCUAGUGAAAUCGAGACUAUUUGGAAUUGGUUUGCAGUCCUUAUAACCAAACGUUCUUGAACAACAUUUGUGUCUUCUCUCAGCUAAUGAUACUUACCUAAUUGUUGUUGUGUAAUUGCAAAUCAAAAAAAAAAAAAAAAAAAAAAAAAAAAAAUAAUUGUUGUUGUGUAAUUGCAAAUCAAAAAAAAAAAAAAAAGAAAAAAAAAAGAAGAGGAAGAUGAUUAUCAUACCAAAAUUUCCAUGUUAGAGGAAAAAAGCUGAAGUAAUAUGCACUCUUGCGAUCAAAGAAAGAGGUGUUUAGUUACCUUUGUAUAAUUUGACAUAGGUCUCUUAAAUCACCAUAGUACUCAACCAACAUAUAUGUUGGCAGCUCAAGAUCAUAAUGUGAAGGCAGUUAGGGAGUGAUUCUGAAAGCAGGGUGAAUGGUUCUUCUUGUGUUGAGAGAAUCGAGUUUGUGAAUCCCCUCUACACACUCUCCCACUCUCUUUACAAGGAGAGGUAUAUUAGCAGCGUUGUUCCUCAAGCUGAAUCAGUCUCUGCCCACAGUCUUUCUCUUCAGUUCCCAACAACUCAAGAGGUAUUAUCUUUGCUUCUUCUGCAUCAUUAAAAGACAUGAGGAUUGGUUUAUGUAUGUAGCAUAUAAAAGAUAACAGAAAAGGAAGGCAGUGGGAUCAGUGCAUGCUCUUGUGUUAAGAGUGUUUCUCAAAACACUUAUCAUGAACUACAAAGAAAAAGGGUUUCUCAAAACAGUUCUUGUGAGUAAUUGAUGGUUUAAUGGUCAAAAAAAUUAACAAUCCCUCUCACUCAUACAAGCCUCUUAAAAAAAAAAACUAAUCAAUUAUUUUUGCAACCAAUAGUCAUUAACACAUGAAUAGAAUCCGAACCGGAACCAACCAACUUCACAAAAAUGAGAGAGAAGGAACCUGCUGAGAUGGUGAGGGGUUUCGACGACGGAAGAGGAUCCGACCUGGAAUCGAUGUUCCUGAAAUGAUCCGGUAGGGUUGAUUGCCUGUACUCUGAUAUCUUCUUGCACAUCUGACUCCAACUUCUCUACUUCUCCGUCGUCGUAGAGGCCAACUUCGGGAUCUAGGGCCAUCGACUCCGUUCAAUUUUUGAAAUCCGCCGUUGAGGUUUGUGACGUCUUUUCAAAUUCGAGGAGCGCUAACAAAAACCAGUUCCACUGUGAGUGGAAUGAAACGGUAGAGAAAUGAGUAUUUCACCAUAAUACGGCAUCGUUUCAGUGUUUUGCUUUUCUUUGUUUUAAUGUUUAGCAAAUGAGAAGAAACUGGAAUCAAUUCAAUAAUUCAUACAUAUAUGCAUCCCCUUUUGUGCAUUAGCCUCUUCUUUUGCUUUCUAGUCAUCGUCUUAAAUUUACAUCACAUUUAUAUUCUUGUAAUUUCUAGUCAUCGUCUUAAAUUGACAUCACAUUUAUAUUCUUGUAUACACUAUUCAUCAUUUUACAACAAGCUCCCUUAUUUUUGGAUACAACUACAAACUUGAUUUUUGACUCCAUCCAACAUGCUUCACACACUCUCUCUCUCUAUAUAUAUAUUCACUCGAGUUUGGUCUCUUGGGUGGUCCUUGGAAGCAAACCAAGAUCCGAAACAGCUUCACCUGCAAAGCCACAUUAACCCAACGUUACAAAGAAUCCUUCAGGUUCAGGAGAUGAGAUAAUAUAAUAAAGCCAAAGCAGCUAUACCAUGCAUUCUUUUGACGAAUCUCUCGAACUCUACAAAGUUUUGAGACUCCAGCAGAGUUGUGUUUAGCCUUAGGUAAGUGAAACACGACAGGUGGCGACCAUCAGGGUCGUUAAGUGGCUUCGCGUUCUCAAGAAUCUUGUUGUAGCCUUCUCUGUCGUAACAAGGAAGAGCAUUCUCACUAGCUACAGGUAUAUUCGCAUCCCAAGCUGCAUUCAACACCUGCCACACUAGACCUUCUGGGUCAGCCAGCGCCUCUGGAAAAUCCUCGUGCUGGUCAAGUGUUCGUAACUCCACGCAUGUGAAGUUGA
rnacentral:lncRNA from 1 species